AAACGAUGUCUACUUGGAGGUUGUGCCCUUGAGGCGUGGCUUCCGGAGCUAACGCGUUAAGUAGACCGCCUGGGGAGUACGGCCGCAAGGUUAAAACUCAAAUGAAUUGACGGGGGCCCGCACAAGCGGUGGAGCAUGUGGUUUAAUUCGAUGCAACGCGAAGAACCUUACCUGGUCUUGACAUCCACAGAAGAAUCCAGAGAUGGAUUUGUGCCUUCGGGAACUGUGAGACAGGUGCUGCAUGGCUGUCGUCAGCUCGUGUUGUGAAAUGUUGGGUUAAGUCCCGCAACGAGCGCAACCCUUAUCCUUUGUUGCCAGCGGUUAGGCCGGGAACUCAAAGGAGACUGCCAGUGAUAAACUGGAGGAAGGUGGGGAUGACGUCAAGUCAUCAUGGCCCUUACGACCAGGGCUACACACGUGCUACAAUGGCGCAUACAAAGAGAAGCGACCUCGCGAGAGCAAGCGGACCUCAUAAAGUGCGUCGUAGUCCGGAUUGGAGUCUGCAACUCGACUCCAUGAAGUCGGAAUCGCUAGUAAUCGUGGAUCAGAAUGCCACGGUGAAUACGUUCCCGGGCCUUGUACACACCGCCCGUCACACCAUGGGAGUGGGUUGCAAAAGAAGUAGGUAGCUUAACCUUCGGGAGGGCGCUUACCACUUUGUGAUUCAUGACUGGGGUGAAGUCGUAACAAGGUAACCGUAGGGGAACCUGCGGUUGGA
rnacentral:rRNA from 3 species